GGGGAUUUAGCUCAGUGGUAGAGCGCUUGCCUAGCAAGCACAAGGUCCUGGGUUCGGUUCCCAGCUCCG
rfam:Rattus norvegicus chromosome 7, whole genome shotgun sequence.